UAUUCUCCAUGUCUUUCCGACUUGCUUUCUUCUUCUCCUCUUAUCUCGCCGACUCCUCUGCAUACUUAUUCUCGUUCGCGAACGCUUUUUCGCUGACUUUCUGCUAUUAUCUCGCCGAUUGUAUCUCACCGGCUUGGUCAAUCUCGCCGACUUCGUCUGUUGCUCUCUCUCAAAAGGAUGUCAAAUAGAGGGACAAAAGAUAUUAGUUCUAGUAAAGGAAGAUCAAGGGGGAGAGGUCGAAGUAGAUGGCAAUCUCUUAGAAUACAAGAUGAGCAACAUGAUACAAUGCCUGAACUUUACAACAUACCAAAUGAAGUAUAGGUAA